UAAUUGAACUGAUUUUGAACUUUGACCUUAUAAAUGUGAUAAUUGAGCCAGUUUGACUACAAGAAAUAACAUUCUUCUUAAUUUGACAUGAUUGCUGGAACUCAGCGAUUACACUGGUAGCUGUGGCAGCGCUUUAUUAAAAAUUUAAAUAAAAAAGUCAUUUUUUACUGUGGGACCAAUCCCAGCCGUUAGUUCGCGCUGAAGAAUUAAAGACAGUUUCAAAAACUACAUUAUUAUUAAGCGAUAUUAUCAAGUUGUAUCGCUUUUAACUGUGAAACGAUUGACUCUGGGAAUUAAUUGAACUGAAUCCGUACUGUGACCUUAGAAAUGUGAUAAAUGAGCCAAUUGGACUCCAAGAAGUUACAUUCUUCUUAAAUUGACAUGAUUGCUGGAAUUCAGCGAAUACACUAGGCUCUGCGGUAGCGCUUUAUUUAAAAAUUGAGAUAAAUAAGUCUUUUUUUACUGUGGGACCAAUCCUGGCCGUUAGCACGCACUGAAGAAAUAGAGACAUUCUCAAAAACUACAUUUCAUUGAUUUCUUGGCGGUAUCAAUCCGUUUCAGUAGGCUGUUCAGUCACGUGACAAUUCUUGCCGUCAAAAAAAAUCUCGGCGCGGCGGAAGAUGAGAACUUCAAAAUUUUUAAAGGUGAGCGUAUGGCACCUUAGCAUUUGGGUACUUUUCUUGCACUAAACCAAUUUAGGCCGGUUUAUGUUGGGUACCUAUGCAAAGGUAGAUGAUUUUCUGAGGUAAACAAAGAUGAAAAUCCCGGUUUCUGUUUGAGGAAGUAAAAAAAUCAGGUUGUGGUUGCUUUUUCACUUAUGUUGGGGUCUGGUCUGUAAAUUGGAAAUAUAACGAAACAGCACAAUAUAUUUUGCUAGCAAUUAUAUAUUUUAUUUUAUCCAAUUAUUCAUAUGUAUUUGAUGAGUUUUCACCAUUUUGGCCUUCACUUCUUACUUCUGUGAAUCAUAAUAAAUCUAGUCUCUAAAAUGUGAUUCUGAUAACUGAGCACACAAUAAUUUUUUUCCAAGUUGCAGUAAUAUUAUUUAUUAACUAAAUUAUUUAUAUUUGCACAUGUAGUCAAUGAUUUUUCACAAUUUUGGUCUUUUUGUCAAGUCUGUAAAUUACAUUAAAUCUGGUCUGUAAAAUAUACAUUUUGAGAUUUAACAUGAUACUUCAUAUAAUUUAUUUGAUAAGUAUUGGUCAUACUAUCAUGCCUAUUUAUUUGCACUUUUUGUUUGACUGUUUUUGCUUUUUUUGAGCAUAUUCCGCAUCUGGUUUGGAAAUUACAAAGAAUCUGGUCUAUAGAAUAUACUUUCAGAAUAUCUCAUGACACUCCCACUUUUUUUUUAAAAAAAAUAUUUAUUCUAUUCUGAUUUUUUUCUGCUCCCACAUUUCCUUGAGAAGUUUUUACUGUUUUGGUUAUAUUUUAGGUCUGUAAAUUACAAAAAAUGUGGUCUGUAAAAUGUAUUUAUUAAAGGAUCACGUGAUACCUCAUAAUUGUAUUUUCCUUAACUGAGAGACCUAAAAACCAUCCUAAUUAUUCAUAUUUACACACGUAGUCAAUGAUUUUUCACGAUUUUGGUCUUUUUUUGUCAAGUCUGUAAAUUACACUAAAUCUGGUCUGUAAAAUAUACAUUUCGAGUUUUAACAUGGUACUUUAUAUAUAUAAUUUAUUUUGAUAAGUAGUGAUCAUACUAUUAUGUCUCUUUAAUAAUAUUCGCAUUUUUUAUAUGAUCGUUUUUGCUAUUUUGGACAUAUUUUGGGCCUGGUCUGGAAAUUACAAAAAAUCUGGUCCGUAAAAUGUACUUCUUGAAGAAUCACGUGAUACCUCAUAAUUUAUUUUUAAACAAAGUGGUAUUUUAAGUAGCCUAGUUAUGCAUUUGCGUGUGUUUUAUUGACGAUUUCCUGUUAUAUUCCUAAAAUUUAUGACCAUAUUUUGUAAUGUAAUUUUGCGCAUGCGCAAUAGCAUUUGGUAAAAUAUACGACCUAAUCAUAUA